UACGGGGGGGGCAAGCGUUGUUCGGAAUUACUGGGCGUAAAGGGCUCGUAGGCGGCCAACUAAGUCAGACGUGAAAUCCCCCGGCUUAACCAGGGAACUGCGUCUGAUACUGGAUGGCUUGAGUUUGGGAGAGGGAUGCGGAAUUCCAGGUGUAGCGGUGAAAUGCGUAGAUAUCAGGAGGAACACCGGUGGCGAAGGCGGCAUUCUGGACCAAUAUUGACGCUGAGGAGCGAAAGCCAGGGGAGCAAACGGG
rnacentral:rRNA from 1 species